CAGCAACAACAAGCAGCUUUAUUCCAGAACACGCACAGCAGUGCCCUCAGCCAGCUGCAGAACUCCUCUGCUCCACCUCCACAGACCUCUGGGAUAUUCCUCUUUGGCAUCCAAGACAAUUGUGGCCAGCUGUUAACAUCUGGACCGGCUGCCCUGUCGGACCAGAUGCUGACUAUCAGUCAGCCGCAGGGCGAGGCCCAACAGUCAGCUCUCCUCUCUCAGCAAAUGUCGGAAAGUCCGCAGCUGCCUUCUGCGAUGACCACCAAUCAGAACAUGAAGAAGAUCGAUGACCUGCUUGUGUCUCUGCAGAAUCAGGGGAACAAUAACAUGGCCGGCUCUUUCUAACUGGCUGGGAAUGUCAAGAUGGAGAACCAGACUUGAACGAUUCCUUCAGUGCUUGUGACUCAGGAAUGGUGGGUGUUUGGAUUAAAAUUUCCCCUCUCAAAGGACUGCCUGGACCCCAGACCAAAUGUAGCCUUCACCCUUUCGGAAGCGCACCCACGUUGAGCUGCUGGGCAGCAACCUCAGAGAGAGGCCGAAGAGCUCUGCUUUGCUGUGCCCUGGCCUGGCUGGACAGUUGGCCUCUCAAGCCCUGCUAAGGGAACGCAGAGCAUGGCUGUCCAGUUGCCGUUGCUGCUGGGCAAGGGGACCGUGCUCCGACCCACCCUUCCCCUCCUUCCUUCACAGCACCUGGAGCUUUUGGGGACAGACGUCGUCGUGUCUCUGUCUGUUAACUCCGGAGUCUGAUCUGUCCAUCUCUGGAUGACUUGUGAAUUGGUUUGUGGCUGCCAGUGGAAAUGAUUUUGUUUGGACAAGGCGAAGGGAGAAGAGAGAGGCCAGUCCAAUCUGUCCCUGGUGUGGAGGGGCAGCCAGGAAGGGGGCCAAGAGCCUCCCUGGCUGUGGGUUCUGGACUCUUCUCGUGGGGGUUUGGGCAUGUAUUGGGAGGGUGGAGUUGCACUGCUCAGAAGGUGACUCUCUCAGCCUCUUGUACUCUGUAAACCUUCCCUUGUGAGGUGGAAUAGCAAGGGACAGUUUGCUGAGCUGAGUCACCUUGACUUGACAGCCUGAAUUAGAAUUCUGUUUCUGUACCUUUCCUGUUGAUUCCACUGCUGCCUUUAGAAACCUUGCUUUUGAGGAGGCCGGCCAGCCAGCCAGCCAGCCAGCCAACCUUCUGCUGCUGUGGGGUAGAAGGCCAAAGGAGUGGGGGUCAUUCUGGGCAAGCUGGUUUCUGCUCCCAAUCCCUUUCCCACUUGGUGCUGCCGUGAAGUCUGAAGCUUCAGCCCAAGCAGGAGGCCUGGGGCUCCUCAGGGGCAGGAAUUGCCAAGCCUGCCUUGGGGUCAUGAGUCCGUGCUCACUUCAGCCUGAAAGGCAGAUCCUCUUGGGCAGAGGGCAGCCUUUAUUUCCAGCACCCUCACCACAGCCUCCUCUUGGAUUCAGACUUUUUACUGUUCUCCCCCCCCCCCCAAAAAAAAAAAAAAUCCGUCGCUGUUUGUGGAUCUGUCACCCAGUAGCUUUUUGUGUUCGGCUGUCACUGGCCAGGAGUGGGGAGGUGGGUUUUUUAGUCCCCUUGAGUGUUCUUUUUUGUUACUUGUGUAUAGAAAAGAAUUUAGCCUAUAGAUGGUCUUAUAGGCUGUUCCCGGUGUGUGUUUUCUGACUUGUGUACCACCUUGAGCUGUGUAGAAUCGUGCUUGGGGUUUGUUUUUGUUUUUUGACUGUUUGUCUCUGGCAUUUGCCGUUGGUCGGUCUGUCUGUCUGUCUCCUUGGGAAGGCCUCAUGUUGUGUUUUCAGUCGUACAGGCUAUUUUGCCGUUAUGAAGGGAACUUUUCAGAAAGAGACCUGCUGCGGGUCAUUUAAUUUUGAAUACAGUUUUCAAUCGUUCAGAUUUUGGAUGGUUUAUAUCUUAUGUGUGUUUCAUUUUUUUGGAAAGCUCUAUUUUGUAUUUAGGAAAUGGUAAACUAUUUUGCUAUUUGUACUGAGUGAGUACAUUGGCAUAAAUAUAAAAUAUAUAUAUAUAUAUAUAUUCUCUCACACGCAUAUAUUCUUUUUGCCACAGAUUUUUGUGGUGAAUGUGUGAGUUUUAUUCCCUGUUCUCCCACACCGUGGCGUCUAGUGUUGGAGGAGGGCGGGAGGGAGGGCAGGGGGAGGGGGGUUGUUCUGAAGUCUGUGCAUUGUAUUUAAGUUCUUUUUUUUUCAGCAGAUGUCAUUUGUUCAUUUUUGGCCAUUCCAUCAGGCAACUGGACUCAGCGGGCUGUGGGGCUCAGCCUGUGCUCUGCGGAGGACAAGACCCCCGGGGGCGACUUCCCUCAUGACAGGGCUCUGCUCAGCUUUUAUUUACUGUUCAUGUCUAACAUUAUUGCCAGCUGCUUAAGUUAUAGUAACACUAAGGAGCCACAGUUUUGCCGUUUCAUGAAUGUGUGAGCAUACUUCUCUUGCAGUAUGUUGUUUUCCUGCUGAGAUGAGGGGGUGAAGGACAGAAGGAGCGGCCUGGGACCUUUGAUGGGCACAGAGGAGGCGUGCACCCACUGCUGUGGGGGCCAGAAGAGGCAUGUGCGUGGUGGUUUUCUGGGGCUGGAGCCUGCGGAGGGGGUGCCUGAAAACACUUGGCCUGUCGUCUGCUGCCGCUGCUGCUGCGUGUCAUUCCUGUGAGAUGGGGGAAUGUCCAGGUGCUGACGCUGUAUGAGGCAGUGCCAAGUCAUCAGGGACCAAUUCUGUCCCAGCACACAUUUCCUGACCGGGACCACCUCACCUGGCGGCUUCUCUCCUGGCGGCUCCAGCCCCCACCGCCGCCACCAGUGUUCAAGAAGGGCUCCGGCUGCUCAGUGCUCGAUGGGGGCAGCUGCCUUCUCUUUGGUUGUUUCUUUGUAAUUUUACUUGGUCCAUUUUAGGUCAAUAUUUAAAUGCGCAACAUUUUGAACAUGAUUUGGUUUCAAACGUCUGUCUUGGGAAUGGGGGUCCUGCUCAGUGGCUGGUCUGGCCUGGGGCUGCAUCUCUCUCACAGUUCAGAAGUCGGGGGUGGACGGAGGCGGUGGAGUCUUGUCCCCCUUAGCGGACAGGCCAUCUUGGAGCUUCAACAAUGUCCAUUCCUCAUCACCACCCCUUGGUAUUGCUGCACAGGGACCCUCGUCCCCUAGUGGAGGGCAGGGAAGGCUGGGUCACUUCAGCCUUCUGUGAAGAUGCUCCAGAUGCAGCAGCUGUUCCUUUCCUCUGACCCUGUCCUUCCCUCCCCCAGCACAUCCCAGCAAAGUGUCCUGCAUACAGGAGAAAUGGGAACGUAACACAUGCAGUUGCAGGUCCUUGACAGGGGUGAAAGUCCCAGGGUCUGUACCACACGCUCUUUCUAGUCCACAGGAUCUUGGGGAGCCACUGCCCAGCAGAGCCGAGCCGAGAGACACGAACCGAGGUCUGGCUCUGCAGAAGGCAACUUGGCGCGGCUACCAUGUCAAGCGCAAGGUCCUGCCUAGAGCAGAUUGGGGAAACCUACCGUAGUUCUUUUUCAUGAGAGCUUUUGCCAGUUUUUUUGUCAUUGCUUCUCAACAGUUGCCGGCCUUCUGUUGUCCUUUUAACCUGUCGUGAUUGACCUUUUCACUUCUCCCUCGAACCACCAGGGCACAUUUACUCUGGGUUAAAAGGGGUUUAUUGCCCUACCUUGCAGGAGGGAGAACAAAGGACCAGGAGAUAAUCCGCUGAGAACUUUGCUCUCUCCAACCAAAUAGCAAAACUUAAGGCUGGUGCUGAGAUCACAUCAGGUGCCCCCCCUCCCCCGCCUGCAGUUUUCUCAAGCAUUUGUGAGUAGAUUUGCAGUUUUCUUUGUAGGAAGCCAAGGCAUUUAUAAAAUUCCACUAAAAUGUCAAAUACCGCAGUUUUGUAUUCUAAAUUAUAAAUGAUGUAUUUUAUGUUGUUGUUCAACCAGUAAAAUUAGGUUAGUUUUGACAGGACAGUAAAUAUUCCAUGUAUUUAAAUGUUUUCUAAAAAGGUUUUUUUUUGGUUCCUCCCCUCCUCAAAAAAAACGGGGGUGCGGGGUGUUCUUUUCUGAAUUUUUUAUAUCUCUAGUCCAGAGAGCCAUCUGUUCAAAGAUACCCCCUCCAGUCAAGCAGCCACAGUGAUGACCCUGCCUGGUGUGUCUCCCGUGGUGGCUCAUAGUAAUUGGACCAAGGCACCUCAGUCACCACAGUGUUUUGUCUUACCCUUGCAGGCGCUCCCUCAAUUCUGCAGCACGCACACACACCCCUCCAGCCUCAAUUUGGAGAGCAUUUGUGUGCUGAUACCAAUUUCUUUUUCAGGCCCCAGAGCAAUAGCAAAGCCCUUGGAUGGCUGUGGGUCAGCCUCCUUCCCCCCAGCCCCACACGUCGCCCUGGCUUUUUUGAUGGUUGGCCCAAGUCCCUGAGCCUGCUUGAGCGGCAAUCUGGCUGCCCGCUCACGGCAGGGUUUUCCCACACAAGCUCCAUCUGCUCUGAGGAACGUGGCCACUGCAGACUGAGCGCUGCGCUUGCACUCGUCUCCGCUGGCUUUGCGGUCCUUGUUCCUCCCUCCGCCUUCCUACCUGCCCUGUUUGCUUAGAGCAGCCCCCAGGCCAGCUGCUGAUCAGCCCCCACCCCACGCCCUGCAAUGUGAAUGUAGCCUCUGGUGGGCCCUUGUGCGUUUGUGUGGACCUGGCUUGUGUCAGUCGGUUUCUCAGAGCACUGAUAACCUGUUCUCAGUUUAUUCUAAGAGGGAGGGAGGGAGGGACCUUAUUUGCAUUUGUUUUUAGCUAUCCGGUGAUAACUUGUUGAAUAUUAAGAAAAAAAUAUUUUGCUUCUAUUGGAACAUUUGUAUACUUGCAACUAUAUUUCUGUACACAGCUGCAGUCGAGAAUAAAACUUUGAAAGUU